GAAUAUUGGUCAAUGGGUGAGAGCCUGAACCAGCCAUGCCGCGUGCAGGAAGAAGGCCUUCUGGGUUGUAAACUGCUUUUUCCAGGGGAUAAAACGUCUAUGCGUAGAUAAUUGAAGGUACCUGGGGAAUAAGCCACGGCUAACUACGUGCCAGCAGCCGCGGUAAUACGUAGGUGGCGAGCGUUGUCCGGAUUUAUUGGGUUUAAAGGGUGCGUAGGCGGCCGUGUAAGUCAGUGCUGAAAUAUCCCGGCUUAACUGGGAGGGUGGCAUUGAUACUGCGUGGCUAGAGUACAGAUGAGGUAGGCGGAAUUGACGGUGUAGCGGUGAAAUGCUUAGAUAUCGUCAAGAACACCUAUAGCGAAGGCAGCUUACUAGGCUGUAACUGACGCUGAGGCACGAAAGUGUGGGGAUCAAACAGG
rnacentral:rRNA from 1 species